GCAGGAGUCUUCAACGGCUGCCAAGGCCCAGUUUGACAAGUUCGUGUUGGACAAGGCGGAGGAGAAAGCGGCCUUUGACUUGGUGCUGGAGAAGACGACAGCUGUGGCGGCGGCACAGAAGGCCAUUGCUGACAAGGCGUUAGUGGACUUCGGCGAGCUGCAGGUAUUCUGCUUGGGAAAGGGUCUCGCGUACUUCGAGAAGGUUUGUUUUGAUUAUUAACCCAAAAUUGGCUGCUCACAAGCAGGAGUCUUCAACGGCUGCUAAGGCCCAGUUUGACAAGUUCGUGUUGGACAAGGCGGAGGAGAAAGCGGCCUUUGACCUGGUGCUGGAGAAGACGACAGCUGAGGCGGCGGCACAGAAGGCCAUUGCUGACAAGGCGUUAGUGGACUUCGGGGAGCUGCAGGUUAGCGCAUGCACAUCUGGUCCAGGGUUUCGUAUGCAGGUCAACCUUUCUUGACCAUGUUGAAUAUUGAUUAGUAUCCGCGUGUGCUUAUUCCCGACGCUUUAGUGCCUUCACUGCUUGCGGUGUGUUCGCGCUGAUGUGCCGGAUUACCGGGCGUUUUAUCCUUAUCCCGCUCGCUGUCUGCAUCAUACUGGUAUGGUCCUUUCCCUCAGCAUUUGCCCAUUACCGAGGCUGAGGUUGGCGGUUAGUAGUAGGCACAGCGGGAAAGCGAUGCCCCUUUCACACCUGGGAAGUGUCGAUUCGUGCGCAUUUCGUGCUGCCGUAGGAGUCCGCCGCAACCACCAAGUCCCAGUUCGACAAGUUCGUGGCGGACAAGGCUGAGGAGAAAGCUGUCUUUGAUCACCUUCUGGAACAGACAGUGGCAGAGGUUGCGGCACAUAAGGCCAUUGCCGACAAGGCGCUGGUGGAUAUGGACGAAAUGCAGGUGAGAGGUCAACAAGUCUUUGGAUUUUUUCGGCACGGGAUUAUGGCUACGGGUGAACAAGAUUAGAUGCAAGGGAGACCUGGCACAUUGGCCGCUUAAGUAGUCACCGCAUCUGUGACAUUGGGAAAGGCCGAGAGGUGCCUGCUUCGCACUGUGUGUCUUCAGGUCUCAUCACUCCCGGCAUUCAUGUAGCCCCAUAUGGGCCUGCUUAAGGGUUCUGCCUCACGUGCAUUAGGGUUUUAUUCCCUAGAGAAGAGUGUGAUAAGAGUCGCCGCUUUUUGUGGCCGUCCCUUUCUGCGUGUAGCAAGCCGCCACGUGCACCAAGGCCCAGUUUGACAAGUUCGUGUUGGACAAGACGGAGGAGAAAGCGGCCUUUGACCUGGUGCUGGAGAAGACGACAGCUGAGGCGGCGGCGCAGAAGGCCCUUGCUGACAAGGCGUUAGUGGAUUUCUCCGAGCAAAAAGCCAUCGCCGAUAAGGCUCUAGUAGACUUUAGCGAGCUGCAGGUGAGUAGCUAACAAACGGCGAACAUGGGAUUGAAACCUCGCUGGCAGCUGGAUGACAAAGUCGGAGUCAUUUGGCAGGUUCUCCGUCGCGCCAGGCAUCGCCUGGCGUCCCUCGAUGUCUCCUGUUAAAGUGAUCCAUAUUCAACCCAUUGUCCGAGGUGUACCGAAGACCACACAGUCGGCAUUACCCGUCUCCUUGGGUCCGGCCUGCCGUUACCAGGUUGCCGGCAGAAAGGGUGAAUGCAUGCACAUGUAUGUGCGCACGCACGCACGCUCUUUACGGCCGCGGUUGCGAUCUAUCCUCUUUCUUACUCCUUAACCGAAGGCCUCUGCGGAAGCUGACAAGGCGGGCCAUGACAAGGUGCUGCUGGACCUUGCGG
rnacentral:lncRNA from 1 species